CCCUUAGAUGGUCUGGGCGGCACGCGCGCUACAAUGAUGCAUUCAAAAAGUCUUCUGACCUUAGAAGGUUGGGUAUUCUCCAAAGUGCAUCGUGACGGGAAUAGUUUAUUGCAAUUUUUAAUCUUGAACGAGGAAUUCCUAGUAAGUACAGGUCAUCAACUUGUGUUGAUUACGUCCCUGCCCUUUGUACACACCGCCCGUCGCUCCUACUGAUUGAGUGUCUCGGUGAAUUCUUUGAUCUUCUGUCGAUUCAGUUCACUGAUCCGACGGUGGAAAGUUGAAUGAACUUCGUCACUUAGAGGAAGGAGAAGUCGUAACA
rnacentral:rRNA from 1 species